rnacentral:tRNA from 1 species
GCCUUCGUGAUGUAGUAGUCAGCACAUUUGACUCGUAUUCGAGAGGUCCGUGCUUCGAAUCCCGGCGAGGGCA